rnacentral:lncRNA from 1 species
CUGCCUUAAGGUACACCGAUCCUGACCUCGCAUCUGUAUUUAUGGUUGGAGUCUCCCAAUCCCUUCUUGGAGUUUGCUAAUGCUGACUUUUCUUAUGUCUCCACGGCGCCACUUGGGGAUUCUUCAAUUCCACUAAUGGCUUCGAACCGCGCUCUACUAAUACUUACUUAUCUUAAUUACUUAUCUUAUAAGGAUGCUAACACUACCUUACUCAUAAGGAUGCUAAGAUUGGACUUGAACUAUACUGCUACUAAGGAUUCAAAGAGGAAUAAAGAAACGAACUACUUAGUAAGGCUCAGUUCCUGCUCUCUUAUUCUUUGCUUGGUGUGAUUGACUUAUAUGUAUAAUAGGAUCUAGCGCAUUGCAUAAAGGAAUAGAAUCCAGCUAGUGCGAUAACAAGGCUAUAGCUCUUUGUACAGAAUCCGACUCAUUGGUUAAAGAAUACCAGGGCGGAUUAACUAGAAUUAGUAUUAGUUUAGAAGUAGGUAAGGAAAGACAGAAUGAAAACAUGCCAGUGACACUUAUAGACGUGCGAGGGGUAAUGAGAACCAUGGUUUUAAGGAUGGAAGUAAGACCAAUAGCUGGCUGGGAUAAAGCUUUUGCUAUUUGUUGACUUUCUUCACUUAGCAAGCCUCGAAUCAAAACCUUUCUUUUCUACGCUUUCUUCUCUUAAUAAAUUGAUAGUUACAGCUGAUAGGGAAAGCUCACUCUUUUAUCGCCGAAAGACGGACACAUUUCCUAACCCCUAACGCAAACAUAGGAUAUUCCUUCAUUAAAGAUCGGAUUCAAUCGAUUAUUCGCAUUCUACUUUCACCAUUCUUGUGACAACAGACAGAAGUGCUUCGUUCCCUUUCUCAAAGGCAAUAGAAAGAUAUCGAUUUCGAACUAAAAGGCAAUCUCGAGUACAAGCCAAGGUUGGAUUCAUUUCUGAUCAAGCAUACCAUCGAAAGAGUAAGGAAAGGACAGGAAGAAGGCGCGCUAAUCAAAUCCUCUCUUGAGACUAGACUCUAUCCCUUCUGGGUCCCAGCUAACAAAGCAAAUUCCUAGCUCCCUAUGAGCUCAGAGUCACUAACGCUAAGAGGAAGAAGAGCUUAUUCCAGCAUUCCCAUAGUCAGAUUAUUACAGCAUUCCCAUAGUCAGAAGGGAAACCGAACCAAAGUGAAGUUCAGCCGAGUCCUUUCUUUGCUACCGGGCAUUCACUGCCGGUCACUCGGAAAUCCACCUAGAGCCUGGUAUGGACUUGCUACAUUUAUUCUUAUUGGCUACGGAACCUUGACUACGAUAUCACUAGAUUAGCAAUAAAUUCCCGAGUAAGUAAAGCGACUCCGUUCCUGUGACCUGGUUAAAGCUUUGCCAGAAGCCUUUUCAAGCAGAGAUCAAGUUCUCAGAUAAGGAUCCUGAUUUGAUUGGAAAUCCAUCUCCUCAGCAUUCAAGUAGGUCUAUCGAUACAAGUGGUAAGACCGAUCCAUUCCGCACCCAAGACCUGGCCGGUGAAAGUAAUCAAGCCAAGGCUACACUUAUUCCUUCAACGGCAAGAGCUGCGGAUGAAAUAGCUGUGGGUAUGCCCCUUUUUCUUAUUUAUAUCUUAUUGAUUUCUAUCUUUCUUUAUAUCUUAUUUAUAUCUUAUUUAUUCCUUACCUGAUUCCAUUUGAACCUUACCUGAUUCCAUUUGAAGUAAACCAGCUCAAGACUGACAAUCUGAUUCUCAAAGCUAAGAUGGAUUCUAUCAAAAGGAAAGAGAUAUAGCCGAGAGAGACAAAGAGAGCACACUAUUAGCAAUUCUUUAUACGUUGAAGCUCUUCCCUCCGCUCCCGAUUAAUGAGUAACUACAGACGACUUAAGAUGUAGCUAAGCUUCUCCACUCCUCUGGCUAAUCCAUGAGAUCAGUACUACCCUAUGGAGAUAGGAAUACAGGAUAUGUUUAGUAGAACAUAUAACCAACCGGGGGCAUAGGAAUAAGUACUGUGCAGGCGCAUCCCCAGUCGACAUAGGGAAUUCAACGUAGAGAGAACCUCCCCCACUAAUACAGAAUUAAGCUGGUGCUUCUCAUAAUGCAAAAAGAAAGAAACUAGUAAUUCCAUCGCCGCAAACAAUACUUGAGCUUGAUACCCGGAUCCUGUGUGCUUUUUCAAGGAAGAAAUAUACAAAUAGGAAAUCCAACCACCACUAUCAUAAUUGCACUGAGUAAUGAGUAACCCGAGCCCCGCUUUCACUCGACCUACCCUCGCUUGAAACCUCAAACUAGCGCGCUACUGAGACUGAUACCGCCACUCAGUAGAAUGCAAACGUACCAGCACACACAUAUCUCUAAGAAUGGAACCACUGCUAUGCCGAGAGGAAUCUCGCACGAAAGCUAGAGCACCGAACCCAUACCUUGAACUCUGACUUAUCCAUUUCAUUCUAAAAUGACUUAUUCUUGGAUUUGAUAGUUGCAUUUCUUUCUAUGUUUCUUAGGUAAAUUGGGUGAAAAAGGGCGACUUCUAUAUCGAUUUGGAUGAUAGCUCUUGUGUCGGG